AACGUGGGUAUCCCGGGAGGUCACCCUCCUUGGGCGCUGUCCAGGUGGCGGAGGGGACCAUAGGGGCUCAGCCCUGUGAGAUGUAGCCCUUUUCCACGAUGUUAAAAGAUGAAGCAGAGUCUAGAGUCUCCACUUGUAUAUUCUGAUGGCUUCUCAGAGCCCUGGACACAAUGAUUGAGGGGACAGACCAUGCAGGAAACAUCU